UACGUAGGGUGCAAGCGUUGUCCGGAAUUAUUGGGCGUAAAGAGCUCGUAGGCGGCUUGGCAAGUCGGGUGUGAAAACUCCAGGCUCAACCUGGAGAUGCCACUCGAGACUGCUAUGGCUAGAGUCCGGUAGGGGACCACGGAAUUCCUGGUGUAGCGGUGAAAUGCGCAGAUAUCAGGAGGAACACCGGUGGCGAAGGCGGUGG
rnacentral:rRNA from 1 species